UCUCUUCCUCUCCUUCAUUUCUAAAUUUACUUCUCAAAAUCCCCAAAUUGAAAGUAGAUAUCCCUAAAUUCUUCUCCCUCCUUCUUCGGCUACAUCGCCGCUCCACCUGGGUCGCCGGAGCACCGCUGACUCCAGCUCCUCGGCGUCACGGAGUCGCCGGCGGCUCGUGCCAUCACCCUCCGUCUCCGUCCAGUUCUCUCUCUCUUUCCCGGACAGAACAACACCUCGUCCACCUCUCGUCUUCUCCGGCGAAUUCUCGCUCGGAGUGAGCCCUUUCGCGGUCGACCAACGCUGUUCGUUGCUCGGCCGGACCGCCCCUUCAGCUGCUCAAACCUCCGCCACUCUUUCUCUCUCUGCAACUCGCCGUGAAUACUCUUCCGUCUCCUUUGAUUAGGAGGGUAGCGGCGUUACCAACGGGAGAGAAGGCGUCGCCUUUCUCCCUUCAUUUCCUUUUCUGUUUUUCUCCGUAGAGACUCUUUCUCCGGAGAUCGCAGUGCCACCGCCGAGCAAGCGUCGGGGAGUUCCUAGCGCUGCGCGUCCUCUCUCCGGCCCUCCUUCUCCGUUGUGCGUGGAAGCUCCGGGGUUGCCGUCGCCGGACAGCCCACUUCCUAAGCUAAGUCCCUUUCCCUUUAGCCCCUUUACUUACUCCGUUAAUUCUGAGUUUGUGAUUGACGAUUCAAUUGGAAACUUGUAAAUAAAGUGAUUUAUGUUCUUAAUCUAAGGGCUUCUCUAUUGUGUCUUGUUUAUUUUAGUGGAGUGAGUUUCCAGCAUGUGUGUCUAUGUUGCAGGAGUAAAAUGAAAAGAAUUUCCCUUAUCCUAAAUAUGAAAAUUUGAGAGAGGCAGAGGGUUGUAUGCAACAUUAAUGUUUCUUUUUCUCCCUUUACUUUUAUCAUGUGGUGUUCUAAGCAUGCUUUAGGUUUGAUUACUACAUGAUGACAUGAAAUUCUGGUUGGGAGGAAGGUGGAGGUGAAAUUACCUCUUGGAGAAAUUACUAACUUGGUGUUUGUUGUUAGAAAACAAAGCUUGCCCUCCUCCUUUAGAGUUCCUAGUUGCAGUGACAAAGAAAGGGGGUGAAACUGAGUUCUCUUUUUUUGAAUGAAGAGAGAUUCUUGGAGAUGAGGAAGGAGGAAGACAUGUUACCUAAAGGAUGCAGGGCUGCUGUAAGAAAGCCUGCAGAAUCCUACUCCAAGCUCUCUAUCUAACUCUUAAUUUGCUGAAAUUUCAAGUGUAUUGAAGGGAGUCUAACGGUGGGGUUGAGGGGGUUUUAUAGGUUGAUUUUGUACCUUAGGAGAAUUAAUUGAAAGCUGAUUUCCCACUUGUCCUCAUGUUGAAACCUAUCUCACUUUUGUGAUUUAGUAGUACUCUACACUAAAUGCAAUUUGGUCUUUAGUUGGAGAUUACAAGUCCCCUCAAAACUGAUUUUGGUUGAUUGUGUGACUAGGAAAGCUGGUGCACAGGGGCUGUUUUGGAGGAGCAAAAAUGGCAGCUUUGACUUGCCUCUUUUGGGUGAGAGAGGAAUCUUAGCUCCCACCUAGCUGCACUUCGAGCGGGCCUGGAUUUGAAUGUCUGGGCCGACGGGCUGCCCAAAACGGGCCCUAAAUUGGGCCUGGAGAAAAGGCCCGAAAUGCACUCCACAAUUUAUAUUUUCCUUUCCUUGUUUUCUUUCUUUAAGGACUUUGAUCCAUGUAACCUAUUCCAUUAGUUGUUCAUUUUGUUGCCUAUGUAAUGCCAUUCGAAACAUUUUAUUUUUC